rnacentral:rRNA from 1 species
UGCGAACGCUGGCGGCAGGCCUAACACAUGCAAGUCGAACGGACCCUUCGGGGUUAGUGGCGGACGGGUGAGUAACACGUGGGAACGUGCCUUUAGGUUCGGAAUAGCUCCUGGAAACGGGUGGUAAUGCCGAAUGUGCCCUUCGGGGAAAGAUUUAUUGCCUUUAGAGCGGCCCGCGUCUGAUUAGCUUGUUGGUGGGGUAAUGGCCCACCAAGGCUACGAUCAGUAGCUGGUCUGAGAGGAUGACCAGCCACAUUGGGACUGAGACACGGCCCAAACUCCUACGGGAGGCAGCAGUGGGGAAUCUUGCGCAAUGGGCGAAAGCCUGACGCAGCCAUGCCGCGUGUAUGAUGAAGGUCUUAGGAUUGUAAAAUACUUUCACCGGUGAAGAUAAUGACUGUAGCCGGAGAAGAAGCCCCGGCUAACUUCGUGCCAGCAGCCGCGGUAAUACGAAGGGGGCUGGCGUUGCUCGGAAUUACUGGGCGUAAGGGAGCGUAGGCGGACAUUUAAGUC